rnacentral:rRNA from 1 species
UACGUAGGGUGCAAGCGUUGUCCGGAAUUAUUGGGCGUAAAGAGCUCGUAGGCGGUCUGUCGCGUCUGCUGUGAAAACUCAGGGCUUAACUCUGAGCUUGCAGUGGGUACGGGCAGACUAGAGUGCGGUAGGGGAGACUGGAAUUCCUGGUGUAGCGGUGAAAUGCGCAGAUAUCAGGAGGAACACCGGUGGCGAAGGCGAGUCUCUGGGCCGAUACUGACGCUGAGGAACGAAAGCGUGGGGAGCGAACAGG